UUAAACUCAGUCUUCUUAACUGGUGCUACAAAGAGGUAUAAUGAAAAGUUUAUUUUCCAAAGCCUACAUAACUUCUAAAGUUAUUUAUUAUAGCUUAAACUCAAAGUUACACACUAACCCUCCAUUCAUUUGAAGAACGAAAAAAAAUAAGUUUUUUUUCAUUUUUCUUAAUCUUAAGGUAUAAAUAUAAAAUCUAGAUGUUCGAUGUUAAUAUUUUCUACAGUCUAAAUCUCAGGUCACUAAGGUUUGAAGGAGUAAGCUUUGGAGAAGAUCUGUACUAGUAAAA
rnacentral:lncRNA from 1 species